rnacentral:tRNA from 1 species
GUCCCAAUGGUCUAGUGGUAGGAUUCGCCCUUCGGGUUAUACCCUCAUGUUCAGCGUGAAUGGGCGAGGUCCCCGGUUCGAACCCGGGUUGGGCCC